ACUUUCUCAAUAUGUGCAGCGAUGGUCUGAUAAGAAGCCAAGCGUCUGGUUCGUGAGUUCACGGCCCCCGCCACGGCCAGUGCCCACUGGAGGCCAGGGCUGGGGCUCAGACCUCAGCUCAGCAUUCAGGCCUGCCUGGGAAACGGCUCUGUGCAGUGCCAGGGCCUCUACUUCCCAGUUCUCCUGGCAUUUGCAAACCACCUCCAUCCUCAGGACUGACACCUCCCACCGUCAGGCGACCCCAAAGGCUGAGUCCACUCAGUGCAACGCGAGCGCCCCCUCCGGCCGGCGGUCCCCAGCCCCCCGCGCUGCUCGCUCAGCCCCACAAUGCGCCCUUGUACCGGGCCUGCAGCCAGGCCGGGGGAUUUGGCGCAAGGAUCGGGGCAAUAUUCGUCAGAUAUUUAAAACAGAGCCGAGAGAACAAAGUGGGUCUUUGUGCUGCCGGGCGGCCGGGAGCGGAGAGGCGCUGCCCACCCCCCAGCCCUGCGCACUCGGCUCGGCGCGGAGCGCGCUCCCGCGCGGGUUCCCAAACAUUUUCCAGCCAGAGCGCGAGGCGAAGCGUUAACCCUUCCCCGCCUGCUCCCCGCUGCGCGCUGAAAGAGAAGCUGGUUUAGUCUACUGGCCACGACGUGUUUAAUUGAAAAAAGAACUAGUCAUUUUCCAUGUUUCUGCAGGAAGCAUAGAUCAUUAAAAUAAAAUGAUAUACCAAUUGGGAAUCCAGGUUUCAAAUGACUGGGAAUAAUAGGACGCCUGGGCCGUGUAAAAACCAAGUCUUUUGGAAAAGACGCCUUCUUUGGAUGCAAGAAGUGAAAUCUAUUUGAAGGAAUGAGCCUCUUCUGUCUUGUUUAUGCUGGGUGACCGGCCCUUCCUUUUCCUGCUUAUUGCCAGUUGGGAUUUGGAAGAUAUGUUGGUUUAUUGUCAAAGUCUUGGUUUUUGUUUUGGGUUGUGAGCUGGAUGGCAUUUAUUUAUUUUUAAAAAUAACCGAAUGACUUAGAUACAAGUGAAGUGUUUGUGGUGUAGGGAUCGUGUCGUGAACCAAGAAAUAGAAUUAAUUCAGUUUUUUAUGGAUGCACAUUCACGAGAGCAAGAGAGAAUACAGUUGCUACGGAGCUCUUCUGCUGGCUUGGGAUUUGCUUUUAAUAAUUUCCAGCCUUUCUGCUUUUUUCUCCGUUGAAAUACCUGUCGCUGUGUGGCUUGCAAGUGAUAUGUUUGCUACUUCCCCAGACUGUGAGGGCCUCUGCUGUGGUCAUCAGUGCUUAGUUUAUGGGCCUUCUCUUGGCCGCCACUUCUUUAUCAAAACUGAUUCUGAAGAGUCCUGCUGUUGGCCGUGACAAAGCAACAGGAUCCAGAUUUAUCCUCUCAUUGUAAACAACUGGAAAAGGGAACAACGUAAUGUACUGAUGGCUUCAGAUAUUGCACAACAGGCUAGGCAGGACUGUAAUCUCUCAGAUAAAGGAAACAAAUGAGGUGAGUCCUCUGAUCGCCCCAGUUUCUGAUUGGAGGCAGAGUUUGGACUUCCCAACAGGAAA